rnacentral:rRNA from 1 species
UGGCGGCAUGCCUUACACAUGCAAGUCGAGCGGCAGCGCGGGGGCAACCCUGGCGGCGAGCGGCGAACGGGUGAGUAAUACAUCGGAACGUGUCCAGUAGCGGGGGAUAACCUGUCGAAAGAUAGGCUAAUACCGCAUACGACCUACGGGUGAAAGCGGGGGACCGCAAGGCCUCGCACUAUUGGAGCGGCCGAUGUCGGAUUAGCUAGUUGGCGGGGUAAAAGCCCACCAAGGCGACGAUCCGUAGCUGGUCUGAGAGGACGACCAGCCACACUGGAACUGAGACACGGUCCAGACUCCUACGGGAGGCAGCAGUGGGGAAUUUUGGACAAUGGGCGCAAGCCUGAUCCAGCCAUGCCGCGUGAGUGAAGAAGGCCUUCGGGUUGCAAAGCUCUUUCGGCGGGGACGAAACGGUCCGUGACAACACCACGGACUAAUGACGGUACUCGCAGAAGAAGCACCGGCUAACUACGUGCCAGCAGCCGCGGUAAUACGUAGGGUGCAGGCGUUAAUCGGAAUUACUGGGCGUAAAGCGUGCGCAGGCGGCUCCUUAAGUCAGAUGUGAAAUCCCCGGGCUUAACCUGGGAACUGCGUUUGAAACUGAGGGGCUUGAGUGUGGAAGAGGGGGGUGGAAUUCCAGGUGUAGCAGUGAAAUGCGUAGAGAUCUGGAGGAACACCGAUGGCGAAGGCAGCCCCCUGGGCUAACACUGACGCUCAUGCACGAAAGCGUGGGGAGCA